rnacentral:rRNA from 1 species
AACGAACGCUGGCGGCAGGCCUAACACACGCAAGUCGAGCGGAUCCUUCGGGAUUAACGGCGGACGGGUGAGUAACGCGUGGGAAUAUGCCCUUCUCUACGGAAUAGCCUCGGGAAACUGGGAGUAAUACCGUAUACGCCCUACGGGGGAAAGAUUUAUCGGAGAAGGAUUAGCCCGCGUUGGAUUAGGUAGUUGGGGGGGUAAUGGCCUACCAAGCCUACGAUCCAUAGCUGGUUUGAGAGGAUGAUCAGCCACACUGGGACUGAGACACGGCCCAGACUCCUACGGGAGGCAGCAGUGGGGAAUCUUAGACAAUGGGGGAAACCCUGAUCUAGCCAUGCCGCGUGAGUGAUGAAGGCCUUAGGGUUGUAAAGCUCUUUCAGCUGGGAAGAUAAUGACGGUACCAGCAGAAGAAGCCCCGGCUAACUCCGUGCCAGCCGCCGCCGUAAAAC